rnacentral:rRNA from 1 species
CCUACGGGGGGCUGCAGUGAGGAAUAUUGGUCAAUGGCCGUAAGGCUGAACCAGCCAAGUCGCGUGAAGGAAGAAGGAUCUAUGGUUUGUAAACUUCUUUUAUAGGGGAAUAAAGGUAUCCACGUGUGGAUAUUUGCAUGUACCCUAUGAAUAAGCAUCGGCUAACUCCGUGCCAGCAGCCGCGGUAAUACGGAGGAUGCGAGCGUUAUCCGGAUUUAUUGGGUUUAAAGGGUGCGUAGGCGGGAUGCCAAGUCAGCGGUAAAAAUGCGGUGCUCAACGCCGUCGAGCCGUUGAAACUGGCGUUCUUGAGUGGGCGAGAAGUAUGCGGAAUGCGUGGUGUAGCGGUGAAAUGCAUAGAUAUCACGCAGAACUCCGAUUGCGAAGGCAGCAUACCGGCGCCCUACUGACGCUGAGGCACGAAAGCGUGGGUAUCGAACAGGAUUAGAUACCCCUGUAGUC